UUCAGAGAAGGAGGCUCAGAGAAGGAGGCCUGUGGUUUAUAUAUUUACACACACAUACAUUCAUAUAUGUGUAUGUGUGUGUAAAUAUAUAUAAAGUCUGUUAUUGAGAGUCGCUGUUUGGACAGCAGCUGUCCGUCACUCUGACCUGAUCACAUGAUCACAUGAUCAGGCUGCACUCUCUCACACACACACACACACACACACCUAUCUUCUGGGAGUGUGUGUGUGUGUGUUUCUUGCUUUUGCUCAUUCAUAUUGCCCCCCCACCACACAAACACACACACACACACACACACACACACACACACACACACACACACACACACACACUCACUUACACACACACUCACUCACUCUCACACACACAGCAGUGUGUGUGUUCAGACCCUCAUUUCUCUCUCAGACACUUUGCUGGCGUUGCAUCUGAACAGACACAGACGGCGAGUUUGAAUCUGAUGACGAAUCUCACGUUUAAUUUAGUCGGCCUUUCUGCGAGGAAAACGAAGAACGAAGAACGAAGAACGAAGACGACUCGAUUUAAUGAACGAGUUUAAAAAUGGGGGGGGGUCUGUGUGUGUUUGUGUGUGAGUGUGUUUGUGUGUGAAUGUGAGUGUGUUUGUGUGUGUGUGUGUGUGUAUUUGUGUGUGUUUGUGUGUGAGUGUGUGUGUGUUUGUGUGUGAGUGUGUGUGUUUGUGUGUGUGUGUUUGUGUGUGUGUGAGUGUGUGUGUGUUUGUGUGUGUGUGUUUGUGUGUGAGUGUGUGUGUGAGUGUGUGUGUGUGUGUGUGUGUGUUUGUGUGUGAGUGUGUUUGUGUGUGAGUGUGUGUGUUUGUGUGUGUUUGUGUGUGAGUGUGUGUGUUUGUGUGUGUGUGUGUGUGUGUGAGUGUGAGUGUGAGUGUGAGUGUGUGUGUUUGUGUGUUUGUGUGUUUGUGUGUGAGUGUGUGUGUGAGUGUGAGUGUGUGUGUUUGUGUGUUUGUGUGUGUGUGUUUGUGUGUGAGUGUGUGUGUGAGUGUGAGUGUGUGUGUUUGUGUGUUUGUGUGUUUGUGUGUGAGUGUGUGUGUUUGUGUGUUUGUGUGUGAGUGUGUGUGUUUGUGUGUGUUUGUGUGUGAGUGUGUGUGUUUGUGUGUUUGUGUGUUUGUGUGUGUGUUUGUGUGUGUUUGUGUGAGUGUGUGUUGGCUCUGUCUGCUCCUGGGACUCUGGUCUCCACGGUAACCGUCUCUCUCUCCCGGUGGUCCGUCCGUCAUUAGCGGGCUUCUGUUGAUGGUUCUGAUCCAAACGGACCUUCAGCUCCUCUAUCAGGUGUAAUCGUGUGGAAGUGGCGAGCUGAACCAACAUGAGGAGUGAGAGAGUAAUCGUCCAAUCAGGAGGCGGGUCUGAGCGCCUGUUUCUGAGUCUUCAGAUAUUUGCUGUUUGUUUUUUCCUCUUUGUCUCGUCUCCCCCUCGCCUCCCCCCGCCUCCCCCUCCUGAGUGAGGAGAAAUUGAGAAACCAAUCUAAAAUCCAUCAGGACUCCCCGGCCCACAGCCGCCCGGCUCCCACUCCCACCCCCACGCCUGUUUUUUGUGUUGCGAGCGUCUGGAAAUUGGAUGAGAUGUUCGUUUAGCGGGCAGCUGGUCUGGGGCCGAUAUGAAUUGCGUUUCCCCACGCCAGGAAAGGUCAAGCCCCCUCGCCUUGACGGAGUGCAUCGGCCUAUUGAGUGGCGCUUUAGUCCAUUUACCAACCGCCAAUGGCAGCGCGGCAGAGGGGGAGAGAGGCGAGCGCGGGCCUGUGUGGAGGAGAGGGAAGAAUGGCGGCACGUCGGAUAUAAAUUCAUUGUUUCUCAUCACCCAGCUGGGGCAGGGAUGGCUGGGAGUGAUUGCAGGGCUGGGGGGGAGAGAGAGGUGGGAAUAUUAGCGUCUGAGUGGGCUGAGCCCGUGUGACAGAGGAGAUGAGCUCGCCUCCUUCGCCAACGCCGCCCAGAAUUUUGAUGGACGAUGUGAAGAGCUUAAACCGGCUUUAAAACAGCGCCUGAAAUCACCGGACGCCGCUGUGAGGCGGGCCGGCCUUUUCAUGGGGCAGGCAGCUACUGAAGUGUACCUUUAUUUUGAAAGAGGACAGGAAGUAACGCCACGGCGCAGAGGAAGCAUAAAAUAGAGACGGUAAAAACCGCGUCCUCUGCUGCUCGGACAGAAAGGCCUCAGGGCUGCUGCUCCCUCGCUCAGGAAACAGGCGUACUGUCCCUUUAAUUUCCAGCCCUCUGUGUGUGUGUGUGUGUGUGUGUGUGUGUGUGUGUGUGUGUGGAGGACUUAAAGCAAUUAAAACAAAGGCGUAUUUAACACGAGGUUAAUGAUUGGCUGACCCUGCAGUCAGCACAACGACAAUAUCUUCAUUAUUGAGAAAGCUCAACUCAUUACGCCCACCACGGCCUGAGGGGCGGCGCUAUUGAUCGGGAUCCGGUCCCAUUACAGGCCCGGACCCCCGGACCCCCCCCAGACCGUCUCACUGUCAGCUGGACGGUGAGACAGGAGCUGGACCAGGACUGUGAGCUUUAGUGGUUUCUAAAGGAUUCAUUACCGAGCCUGAGGAGGGAUUAUUCUCCUCCUCUUUCUCCUCCUCUCCUGUUUUGUGGAGACCUCCUCGGAGUUGAAGGACCCGUCUCACCGUUGAGGCGAGAGAGAGAGAGGCAGCCCGACCCACCCGACACGAGGAAGAGGAGGAGGAGGAACUCGUUCUGAAAAAGGGCGCGAGUCGAGACAUCAGUUUUCUGGAGAUUCUUUAGAUUCAGAAAAUCCGACAAUGAUCAAAAACCAAAACUACAGAAACACCAACCACCUCCUCCUCCACCUCCUCCUCCACCUGAAGAUGAAACUCGUUAAACUCUGUCUGAGUCUAAAGACGCACUUGCUGCACCGAAAACUGAACCUGCAGCAGCUCCUCUCAGAGUCUCUGACCAAAGAGACGAUCAAACAUCAUCAGACUGAACUUUAGUUUGGAUUAAAAUCAGAGUUUAAAAUCAGACAGUUUGGUUCUUCUGAAGACGUUCAUGAACACGGAGAGAGAAACUCAGACUGAGGGAGAAGAUUCUGUUCAGACUGACCAACUCUGAGGUCAACUCUUUCACCUUCUCCUCCUCCUCAUCUCUCCUCCUCCUCUCUCAUCCUCUUUCUUCCUCCUCUUUCUUCCUCCUCUCUCCUCCUCUCCCCUCCUCCUUCUCUCCUCCUCCUCCUCUCUCCUCCUCUCUCUUGCUCCUCCCUCUGCUCCUCCUCUCUCUUCCCCCUGCUGCUCCUCCUCCUGCUGCUCCUCCUCCUCUUUCCUGCUCCUCCUCCUCUCCUGCUCCUCCUGCUCCUCUCAGAGUAGAGCAGCAGAGCUGAGCUGUAAUUACCCCGUCAGUGUGUGCCGUCCUUAUUAAAACACUCCUAACAGUGCUGCUCCUCUCUCCUCUCUCCUCCUCCUCUCUCCUCCUCUCCUCUCCUCUCUCCUCCUCUCCUCCUCCUCUCUCCUGGGUUAGAGCUGAGCUGUAAUUACCCCGUCAGUGUGUGCCGUCCUUAUUAAAACACUCCUAACAGUGCUCCUCUCUCCUCGUCCUCUCUCCUCUCUCCUCCUCUCCUCCUCUCCUCCUCUCUCCUCCUCUCCUCCUCCUCUCUCCUGGGUCAGAGCUGAGCUGUAAUUACCCCGUCAGUGUGUGCCUGCCUAAUUAAAACACUCCUAACAGUGCUCCUCUCUCCUCUCUCCUCUCUCCUCCUCUCUCCUCGUCCUCUCUCCUCUCUCCUCCUCCUCUCCUCCUCCUCUCUCCUGGGUUAGAGCUGAGCUGUAAUUACCCCGUCAGUGUGUGCCGUCCUUAUUAAAACACUCCUAACAGUGCUCCUCUCUCCUCUCUCCUCCUCUCCUCCUCUCUCCUCUCUCCUCUCUCCUCCUCCCUCUCCUCUCUCCUCUCCUCUCUCCUCCUCUCCUCCUCCUCUCUCCUGGGUUAGAGCUGAGCUGUAAUUACCCCGUCAGUGUGUGCCGUCCUUAUUAAAACACUCCUAACAGUGCUCCUCUCACCUCGUCCUCUCUCCUCUCUCCUCUCUCCUCUCUCCUCCUCUCCUCUCUCCUCCUCUCCUCCUCUCUCCUCCUCUCUCCUGGGUUAGAGCUGAGCUGUAAUUACCCCGUCAGUGUGUGCCGUCCUUAUUAAAACACUCCUAACAGUGCUCCUCUCACCUCGUCCUCUCUCCUCUCUCCUCUCUCCUCUCUCCUCCUCUCCUCUCCUCCUCUCCUCUCUCCUCCUCUCUCCUCUCUCCUCCUCCUCUCUCCUCCUCUCUCCUCUCCUCUCUCCUCCUCUCUCCUCCUCUCCUCUCUCCUCCUCUCUCCUCCUCCUCUCUCCUGGGUCAGAGCUGAGCUGUAAUUACCCCGUCAGUGUGUGCCGUCCUUAUUAAAACACUCCUAACAGUGCUCCUCUCACCUCGUCCUCUCUCCUCUCUCUCCUCCUCUCCUCCUCUCCUCUCUCCUCCUCUCUCCUCCUCCUCUCUCCUGGGUCAGAGCUGAGCUGUAAUUACCCCGUCAGUGUGUGCCGUCCUUAUUAAAACACUCCUAACGUUGCUCCAUUAUUGAGAGACCCCCCACCGGACUCCUCUUAAUUCGUUAAAUAAAUUAGCGCCGGCCCUUUAAUAAUUCAUCGACUCGUGUCUCGGCGUUUUUCCUCCCCGCUGAGGGUAACUAUGACAAAAAGCAGGAGGAUGAUACGGCGUGGAGCAGAGCGAGGAGGCCGUGGGUGAAACAGGAGGAGGUUUUAAUGAGAUCAUGAAACCGGUUUUUAGGGUCGACCUUUGACCUUUGAGUGUCUCUGGGAUCAUCAGACGUCCUGUAAACCGUCUUAUAUUUGUCCGUCUGUCUGACUGAGACACACUGAAGUGUCUCUGAGCUCCAGCCUGCAGAAGUGACUCUCAUCCUCCAAAGAGCACAUUUUUUCCCACGUGGCCGCCCGCCCGCCCGCCGGCUCGCCCGCCCGCCCGCUCGCUCGCCCGCCCGCUCGCCUGUCUCCUGUGUCCCUCUCAUUUGUGUUGCAUUAAUGUGCUAAUGAGAAUCUCCUUGGGCGAAGGCAGAGCAGCUAAAAGACAAAUAAAGCGGGGAGUCAGACGGGGAUCUGGCUGUGUCUCCACGUAUCUUUAAUUGACACAUCUGCAUCCCUGAUGAAAUAUUUACCGCCUCUGACGAUGGAGCGGCGGUGCGUGGCGAUCGGCGCUGUGUUUUGCCCGUGGUGUUGUCGACAUGUGAUAGUGUUAUUGAUGUUAUUAGCAUAGAGACGCUCCUGGUGAGGAGCUACAGAUCUGUUUCAGUCUGAUCAUCCAGGACCGAUCGUUUUCUCCUUUUCUCGUCUUUUUAGGAGAAGUCACAUGACCGACCACGUCAGGUUAACAGAGCGGACCCCGUCCGUCACGCCUCUGAGGGGGUUAACGCACACUUGUGUUUUUUCUUUAAGGUGUUUUUUUCUGUUUAUGACGUUUUGAUUUCCAUCAGAAACACGAGUUGAUUCAGAUUUUCUGUCUGUUGAGACUCGAAGUCGUCGUCCUGCUGUGUGGACGAUCACAGUGAAACUGUCAGCUGUGGUUCAGUAUCUGAGUCCACGUUCAGACUGCAGGUCAGUUCUGAUUGGUUCUGAUCCGACCCUCUUCUGUAUGUGGAUAUAAAUCAGAUAUGUAUCUGAUGUGACUGCAGUGUGACGCUCAGGUCGUGUUUAUCCGACCUUUACGUCAUCAAUAUGAGACAAACGUCACCAUUGUUCAACGACACAAACAGGAGCGGAAAGAUAUUUGUGUUCAUGCGGGUCACUGUGAUGUGAGCGACCGCACAAAAAGAUCGGAUUGAACAAAAACUCAGAAUUGUGCAUCAGAACCUGCAGAGUGAACGUGGACUAAGAGGACCGGGUUUUUGUCAGCUGAUCCCACACGGUCUGGAUCCUGGUUGGUUCCGGAGUGUUGGGGAUCAGAUCCGUGUGUGAGAGCAGGUUUUUAUUCUGUCUCUGUUUGUGUGUCAGUGUUUUUAUGUUUGCAUACGUGCUGCUCCUGUUUGUGUGUCUGCUAUAGGCUUUUCAUGGGCGUGUGUGUGUGUGUGUGUGCGCGCGCAGCGGCGUGCCUGUCGGGAUGUGGCGGCCCUCUCAGCCAUGUCAGGGACAGCUUCGUGGAGGGUGGCAGCCGGGGAAAAUGAUGAUGAUGAAAUUAAAAUUCUGCGCCCGGCAGAAGGGGCUGCCGCGAUUUCACUGGCGGCUGUGCGCAUCGAUCUGUUCCAGCAUUUGACUUUCAACCAUGACAAAACUGUGGGCAAAUUAAUUGUUCUCCAGGAUAUUAGGCAUCAGAGUCCAUUAAUCCUCUCUGGAGCGCCACGCCGCAUGAAUACUAAUCGUCUUUCCAGGCAGCCGUCUCAUCCCUCGCUCCCUUCGCUCUCCUC